GUUUCUGGAGAGAUGAUGAGUCCUGUGGACCCAAGUGGAAGGUGAAUCCUGUCACUGUCACCCUCUGCUCUCAUAUGGAGCAUCCUUAUUCUGUAGAAAUGCACCUCGAUAAAGUACCCCAGAACAGCCUUUGAACAUACCAAAGUAGUUGCUCAAUCAAUACUUGCUGAAAUGAAGAUAAAAAGAGAAGAUGGACCAAACAAAACCGAAGCUAUGAAAUCCUGGAAUUUAGCAGAUUUCUGCAAAGUUGACAUUCAUCAGAUCUCAUCUGAGUCACCAAGUUGUCAGCUGCUCUGAGAAGUCCUGAAGUCUGUGGAAAAACAACCCCAAACAUUGGCACCAUCUGUAGAAGAGGCUUCACUCUUAAGAUUCUCUAUUUGUACUCAUUAAGUCAUUACCUGAUAAAGCCAGACUUGUUUCUUUUUAAAUAAUCUGCAAAAUAGGCUAUAAAAUGCAUGUUUGUAAACUCAUCACAGGCUGCAUUCCAAUUGACUGUUAGAGAGGUUUUUAAGAUCCCAUUCUUAUUGUAUAGUGACUAUUAAAUAGAAAGUUUUCUCCUAUUAGACAAUCUGCCAAAAACUGUCAUUUAAUCUAAUAAUGUAGCAGGAAUCUGAAUAUCAUUUAAGUGACUUAUUAUUUCUCCUCUUCACUCCAUCCCCAGUUUUCCAGAAUCUUACUUUUAUUUGAAAUACCUCAAUAUGUCAGGCAUAUGAGUUAAUCCACCUGGGAACUUUCUUAUAGAAAUAUCUGCUUUAUGGCAGAACUGAUCAUGACUAAAGUCCAUUUGGGAUCAUCAUAAUUACCAAAGUACUAAAAAAGACCUCCAUAUAAAACUGGAUCUAGAAGACAGCAUUUAUAGAAUUUCAAUUAAAUAUAUACAUUUAACCCAACAAAACUUUAUUAAAUAAACAUGUUAUAGAUGUGUUCGGAGAAGAAGAAACAACUUCAUAAAAUUAAGACAUUUAUAAAAUUCCUUAAAAUUUUCAAAAUAUUUUACUUUCCUUAUAUAAUUUAAGGUUCAUAAUGAUUAUGGAAGUCAGGUGAAACAGUGGAUAGAGUACAGGAAUUUGGAAUUAGGGAGAUCUGAGUCCAAAACCUGCUUCAGUCACUUACUGACUCUGUGAACUUGGAUGAGUCACAUAACCCCAUGCAUGCCUCAAUUUUCUCAUCUGUAAAAUGAAAAUAAUAAUAAAACUUACCUCAUAGAGUAAUUAUGUGGGUCCAAUGAGAUAAUAAAUGUAAAAUGCUUUGCA